GCGGGAAAGUUGUUUUCUUCAUUGAAUAAUCUAUUUAUAUUUAAUACGAAAUGAAGAAGUAAUCGAAAAACAUUCACUUAAGUGUUAUCAUAUCGGAAAAAUAUAUAAAUAUAAAUAAUAAAUAAACAUUCAAUAAACAAAGUGGUACUAUCUAUUUUCACUUCAUGCCAAGAAGCCGCUUCAUAACUCGAAAAUUUAUGCGGACUUUUGAGUUAAUUCGUAUCACAAACCUAAAGGUCUAUGUAACCAGGCCAAAAAUUUCCAAAAAGAAAAAAAGAUGAGGCUAUAAUUAUGACAUAAUAACACAUUUGCGUAACCUGUGGAUUCCAUUGCUUACCGAUUUGAAAAUAUGAAAAUACGUUUAUAGUUUUUAACGAAUUUAACGUACCUAGUAUAGUAUUUGGCUGUAUGGGUUAUGUUUCCUUUGCCUGUCCUAUGUACAAAAUAACCAAAAAAAAAACUAAACAAAAUGGUCUUAUGGUCUCGUUCUGUGGUCUCGUUGCCGAGAAGUUCUCUUGAUAAUUUCCUGUGCUACUUUGUUAGAAUUUGUAGCUUACAAGUUCACCGUGCGAGAGCGUCGACAUUCUACUGUAAAAACUUCCAGAGCCAUUGUGUGUUUUGGAUAGAGCCGAUAUGAUAAAAAGUUUGUGGAUAAUGUUCGUUGAUAAAUUGCAAUGUGUGAAUGCUGAUCGACUUUGUCAUACUAACUCAUACUCAUACUAAGAGAUGUAAGCAACAAUAACAAGUUUCCUGAAGAAUGUUCCAAUCGGACAGUUGGAAACAAUUAUGUCUGUAUAAGUUGUGGAAUAUCUUUGGGAAAGCAGUCACGAAGAUAAAAUCACAGGCCAUGGGCUUAUGGAAAGAAGUGAAGAGUGGUAUUAUAUAGAAAAACAAUCUCCGAGAUAGGUAUUUAAGUAUUAAGUAUUUUAUGUUGUACAUGAAAAAUAUUGUGUUUCAAUCAUAAAUGUUAUAAGGCAAUCCUUAAUUAUGAUUAAAACAUUGUUCUAAUUUUAAUUUAUUGUUGGCAAUGUUUCAGUUCCAUUCCUACACAUUAAAUAAUAUUGAUACAAUCGGGCAUAUUGUGCAAUAUACUAUUAAAAACAUUCAUGUUUGCUUUCAGAUACCUGAUGGAUGCCCAUGUAUGCAUUGUUUGCAGGAUGAGCUCACCUCAAAAGCAUUAAUAUCUAGUGAACAUAAAAGCUGUGUGUGUUGUUGCAAUGUAUAUAGUUCUAUUUAUUAACCCCCGACGCAAAAUUGUGUAUAUGUGUCUAUCUGUAGCAUCGUAGCUCCCAAACGGAUGAUCCGAUUUUAAUAUGUUUUUUUUUUGUUUGUAAGUUAUAUUAGUCGAGAGUGUUCUUAGCUAUGUUUGGUAGAAAUCGGUUCAGGUCUUCAAGGUCAUCAGAGAUGUUUGUUAAGUGUGAUAGGAAUGUUACACGCUCAGUUUGCUUGCAAGCAUAGGUAUGUGGGAUAAGUUAUUUUUUGCUUUUUAUAGGGUUUUUUUCACCUUUUUUCAUAAUAAUUGAGUACUUUUGUUUUGUCGGGGUUUUUUUUUGUUCAUAGAUGUUGGUAAACUAUGAGUUUAUAUCACUUUAUAAUUAUUAUAAUUUAUAUUAUUAAAUCAUUAAAUAGAUAAAAACCUGUGUAUAUUUUAAUGUUAUUGUUAAGUUUAUUCUCUACCUACUUACUAAUAUGUUACCAUAUUAAGUCUGUUCAAAAAUCAUAAAUAGGUACUUGUUCUUCUUCUAUCAUGUAGGUUGUGAAGUGGAUGACCAACCUCAACCAGGGUUAUUGCUGAGCCGCCAAUGUCGUUGGAUCAGCCAGCAAUGUCCUAACUGAAUCAGGGAUCACAAAGAAAUUUUUGUGUUUUGUCCCCACCGGGACUUGAACCUGGGACCUCCGGAAUGUUAGCCACUGGACCACAUAGGCCGAGAGUAUAUGGUUAAGUUGCUGUUUUAUUUCAACUAUUUAAUUAAAUGUAGGAAUAUUUUGUAUGAGUAUGAAUUAUAUAAUAAAACAAAUUAUUUCUAAAAAUAUAUCUUUCAUUAUGUUUUUAAUAAAAUUGUUUCUUUUUAAAAUUAUUUUGAAAAAUAAAAUAGUAAUCACGUCGUUUAGCACCACUUCAACUGAUAGGAUCUCACAAUCAAUGUUUUUUGUGGUAUCAAAAUUGUUAGUUAAAUUUAAUUUUUGACCUCUUGGGACCAGAUUUUCACAUCAAACAUCCUUUGGUGGUCUUUAUUGGUCUAAAUGCAAGACAAAUAUAAUUAUAGAAUCUAUAGGUACCAAUGAGGGACUUUCCAGGCUAGGUUCUCAAAAAAAAUACAGAUGGCGCUGUCCAGAUUUAACAUGAUGUGUUAUUGGUGCUGAUUCCAGUACACACUGUCUAAGUUUAUUUGAAGUUAUACCUGUCAUUUUAUUAUCAGGUGACGGGUAAACGACAGGCUUAAAAUUUAUGGAAUAGGUUCACAAUAAUUUUAGUCAGAAAUUAAAAAAACCCAGCAAAAGUUGACAGCACACAUGUCACCGGCGAUAGAAAUAUGUUAUGCGAAAUAAAAGUUGCUCCAGGUUUUAUAGUUUUGCCAGGCCGUAGGGUGUCUCCCUGAUGCGAAGCAUGUCACCGGCGAUAGAAUUUGACCAAGAUUUAAAUAGGUCUCGGGGCGUAGUGUGUCUCCGUGACGAGGAGCAGUUUUCGAAGACCGGGAAGUAAUUCCGUACUCUACAUGACGUUCCGAUCACACCUCCCAUACAUCAUUUUUAGCCCCGAGGCUUUUUCUGUAUAAGGGAAAUUUUGUAUGGCGGCCAUCUUGUUUUUCGGCCAUUUUGUUUUUUUUCACCGGGGAUAAAAUUUGACCAAGAUUUAAAUAGGUUUCGUGAAAAAAAUAUUGCUCCAGGUAUUAUAGUUUUGCCAGGCCGUAGGGUGUCUCCCUGAUGCGGAGCAGUUUUUCAAGAUCGAGCAGUAUUGAAAUACUCAACAUGACGAUCCGAUCACAUCCCUAUACAUAAUUUUUACCCCCGAGACAUUUUCUGGAAAAACAAAAUUUUGUAUAGCGGCCAUCUUGUUUUUCGGCCAUUUUGUUUUUUUUCACCGGGGAUAAAAUUUGACCAAGAUUUAAAUAGGUUUCGUGAAAAAAAUAUUGCUCCAGGUAUUAUAGUUUUGCCAGGCCGUAGGGUGUCUCCGUCUCCCUGAUGCGGAGCAGUUUUUCAAGAUCGAGCAGUAUUGAAAUACUCAACAUGACGAUCCGAUCACAUCCCUAUACAUAAUUUUUACCCCCGAGACAUUUUCUGGAAAAACAAAAUUUUGUAUAGCGGCCAUCUUGUUUUUCCGCCAUUUUGUUUUUUUUUCACCGGCGAUAAAAUUUGACCAAGAUUUAAAUAGGUCUAGUGGAAAAAGAAUAGUUCCAGGUGUGAUAGUUUUUCCAGGCCGUAGAGUGUCUCCCUGAUGCGGAGCAGUUUUUCAAGAUGGAGCAGUAUUGAAAUACUCAACAUGACGAUCCGAUCACAUUCCUAUACAUAAUUUUCACGCCCGAGG